rnacentral:rRNA from 1 species
UACGUAGGGGGCUAGCGUUGUCCGGAAUCAUUGGGCGUAAAGCGCACGUAGGCGGACCGUUAAGUCGGAGGUGAAAUCCUGGGGCUCAACCCCAGAACUGCCUUCGAUACUGGCGGUCUUGAGUCCGGGAGAGGUGAGUGGAACUGCUAGUGUAGAGGUGAAAUUCGUAGAUAUUAGGAAGAACACCGGUGGCGAAGGCGGCCCACUGGCUCGAUACUGACGCUGAGGUGCGAAAGCGUGGGGAGCAAACAGG